GUACUGAGGAUUCCACAUCUGGAUGCAGUACACCAGUGAAGCCUAAAUGUUAAUGCUGAAACAAGCUGCUGUCAUGCAUGUAAGGUGUUCUGCCUUUCCUCAGGGGUUGUGCUGCUGCUCCGGUGGGAAGAAUAACACGACAAGCUCGACAGGCUUUGUGUCUGCUACAGCUUGUACCAAUACAAAAGCAGCAAGACAGCAUGCGCAUGAUAUCACAGCAACUGCUGCCUGUGCUGAAGAUGGCUGGCUGGGGGAUAAUUUCUGUGGCACUGGGGGAUGUCUGAGGAAGCAGGGCUUCAUCUGCAGCCUCUGCCUUCAAGUUUGCACUAUAGAAGCCUCUGGAGCCUUCUCCAUUUUAGACCCACCUUCCACCCUGCUGAUGUUCACUGCGAAGCCAGCAAGGGUGACUCAGCAGAGACGUGCUGUGUGUCUCAUGAAGCAUGAAUACUGUGCUUGUGAUAUUUGGGCAUGAUGGGUUGGUGAGGUCAGCGCUGCCAGCCCUCCGCCAUCCUGGCCCCCAUAGUACAACUUCCUCCCAGCCUGGGAGGAGGAUGUGUGGCUUGGGCUAGAGGGACAACAAAGUUAAUGCUUUUCUUCCUCAGUCAAACACCAGUUCAAACGCUUUCUUCCCCAGGAGCCAGAGGGGUGUAGAUAAAUCUUCUGCUUUGUUCCUCACAGCUGAGGUUCCGGCUGUGGCCUGUCCUGGGUGGGUAGGAACUGGAACUGAAUGCUCAUUGAGAAAGACUCCAUGUAACUGUGAGAAGAAAAUGGCCAUGGCCAGUCUGGCUCAUCCUGCUCAAAUCCGGGUCACCCUUGGUGAUAUGUACCUAGCUCCUUUUUUUUCUUUUUUUCUCCCAUUAAAGCUUUUUUUUAUUCGUUUGUCACAAUCAUUUACACAGGUGAGAGGUACCAGCUCAUCCACAGGCUGAGGUGAAUGCAGGUGUGGCUGGUGACCUCAGAGCUGGCCUCCUGUAGAGUGGCAGGGACACCUUGCUUCUCAACCUUCCUGAUGGAUAAGCCGAAGUCACAGCUGGGCCCAUCCAAUCCCCCUCUUCACACCAUUAUAGAGUGGUUGAGUGAAAAAGAGAAUAUCAGUCACUUUUUCCCCACUCAGAGAAAGAACGCUUUAUUCCAGGGGCUGUACUUCAUUACCAGGAGAAGGUGUAAAGAAAGAUUAUGAACUACAUGUCAAAUAAAGCUGAAUAAUUCCUGCUGCUAACUUUGCUGGAAGAUGGUUUUCCUCUGCAGGCCAAACAUGGAGAUGAAAGGCCAAGAGGUGGGAUAUCUAAAUCUAACCUCUUCUGUUACGCAUGGUAAGCUGACAUGCAAAAUAGUAAUGUGUUGGUUUAGUGCAAAAAAAAGAAGGAGAAGAAGAGAAAGAAGAAGAAAAAG